UGCACUAUAGGUUUAUUGAUCGGCUGAUUAUCUGCAGGCAGGCUUGUUGCUAACGAUGUUAGUGCUCCCUUUAUGAGUCUCAUCCUGCUGUAAACCUUCAGCUUUAAACACUAAAUCAGAUCUAAAAGUGUAUCUGACUGUGUUAAAUAUAUGUUUAUAAUGUAUCUAUAAUGUGAAUAUCGUCAUUAUAUAUCGGACCACCUGCUCUGUUAAUAUCAGCUAUUGAAAAUCUCAAACCUGACCACUAUCUGAUGGGAACUGUUGCUCCAUCCUGAGAUCAGGCGGAAACCGAACAAGCAACCAGCACACACCUGAUUCCACAACAGGGCAAGACCGGGGAGGAGUUACCUGCUGCUAUAAGAUCAAACCUCCUCCGCCCCCGAGCACAUUCGAUACACAAAGGCAGCCAUGGCAAACUUCCUCAACCAGCUGGGCAACCAGGGCAUCGCAGAGGUUGUCGGAAAGAAAGCGGGCGAAGUGGUGGAGAACACGGUGAAGAGUGUUCUUGGGAAAAGUGAAGAGAACAAGGAGGAGGGGAAGUCAGGAGGAUUCGAUGCAGGAGACGUCCUCUCACUGGUCGGCGGUAAAAAAGACGACAACAAGGGAGGAUUCGAUGCAGGAGACGUCCUCUCACUGGUCGGCGGUGGCAGUAAGGGAGAAGAAGGAGGAGGCCUGGAUGUGAAGAACGUUGUUGGAGGACUCUUUAAGUAGGAACCCUGCAGACCUCAUCCCGACUUUCAGCUUCAGUCCAUCAAACCUGCAAAAGCUGCAGCGAAAAUGUUGAACAUAAAGUCUUUAAAAAUGAUAUAAAUAUAAACGUGUUUAAUUGUUUAAUUAAAUGUAAAUAACUGAAUUCAUGGCUGGUUGACAAUGUUCAUGUUUUCUUUACUGAACCAUGGAAAGGAAGGGUUCAUCUGAUGACCUCUGUUCAUUAAACAUUAAUAAACUGGGUUAUUAUUAAAGUUAUUGUCAUAAAUUAAAUGUAUUAAAUGCUAAUCGAAUGCAGAUUGUAAUAAAACUAGUUUGACACCAUCUUGUUGUUGUACUCUUCAGAUUUGAUCAAUUCAGAUAAAAUGUGCACUGUAAAAAAAGAACUGUCUUCAUUAAAUGUUUUAGUAAAAGUCAAACUUUUAAGUUUAGAAAUAAAAUAAAAUGUAAUAAUGUUUUAUUGAAGUAAUUAAUUUUUCUUCUGUAGAAAACCUUAUGUGACUUUCAGAAACUGAAAUAUUUGUUCUCAGUGAGUCAAGAACUUGAUUUUUUUUAAUUAUUUGGCUGCUUGAAAAUUAAAUAGCUGCAAUUAAAUAUUAAAAUAUUAGUUUUCUGAGCAGGUUUUAAAAUAUUAAUGAUAAUAAUAAUGAUAAUAAUAUUAAUGGUACUUUACAUUCUUAGAAACAAAAUAUUAUAAUAAAGAAAUUGUCUCAUUAAGGUGACUUUCAACCACCCAAAUAAUAAUAAAAAAUCAAGUUCUUGAAUCACUGAAAACAAUUAAAGGAAAACAGUUUGUAAAACUCAAAGAAGUUUUUCUAAAGAAAAAAAAUGAUCUCAAAUAAAGAUUAUUUAUUAUUAUUAUCAUUAUAAAGAUUACCAUUAGAAGGGUGAAAUAAACCAUUUCCAAAACUUAAAAGUUUUGACUAUUUUUUACAGUGUAUAUGCAUGAGUCAGUACAAGAUGUUAAUUAAUUAAUUAAUUAAUUAAAUGAGAUCAACAGACACGUCUCUGUCUCCUGUUUCAAAUCAUUAAUCUCUGCUGCCUGUUAGCAUCUUACAGAAAUAAAGUUUCAUUUGAUUGAACAAAUAUAUUUAAUUGUGCACGAUGAAGACGAGAGAUGUGAAGAGGUGUGUGGAGGUGGGUGUGGUUUGCACUCAGCUGCAGGAGAGAGAGAGGUGUGGGGAGGGCUUGUGAGAGCAGCACCAGGUGAGUUGGUUGUCUCAGCUGCUAAUCGUUGCCUACUCACUCUACCUUUAUGUUGCAGUAGUGUGCUGGACCCCGGCCCGGGGGUGCUACUGAGAGCGAGAGCCGCAGAGUAGUAGAACUGAUUGUGUGUUGUUUGUGUUGGCAACACCGAGACUAACAACAAAAGUUACAUGAAGCAACUAUCUGGUCUGAGAGUUUGUGUUAAACAACUAUUAUAUGACACAUAUUAAAUGUGUUAAGAGAGAAAUUACUGAAUUUACUUCACACAGACUUUAAUGAAGGAAGAUAACAUAACUGAGCUACAAGGUUCAGCUUAAUGUGAAUAUAAAGAGUUUGAUCACAGUUCAAUAAACACGUUUUAAGGUGGAGGAGCUCUUCUGUUCUACCUGCAGUGGAUUCAUCAUGCAGAACUACACCUGUAGAUAAUUAUAAUAUUAAUAUAUUAUGUCACAGUUGCUGCCGCCCAGUUCUGGAAACUUUAAUCUGACGAGUUUCAUAGUGAGUCACACAUUUUACAGAAAGGGAGGAAAGAAACUCACACACACACACACACACAGAGGCCAUUGUUGUCUUUGUCUCGCUGUAACGUGUCCAACCUGCAGCAUCCUGCAAACACCUGCAGUCAGAACUCAGGGCUUCAGCUGCUCACUGUCACAACAAAGCUUAUAAAGGUGUAAAAUCAGAGUUGCAGUGAGUCCUGCUCAGGUGAGAGCAGGGCGUCCGAGCAGGUGGAACAGGUCGGUCCGGUCUGCAGACACACCUGAUUCCUCGACGGCCAACGGGGAGAGACCUGAGGGAGGGGCGCCGCUCCAGAGAGUCUCACCUCCACCUGCCAGAAAACAGUCUCUCAUCACACACUGACACAGACAGAGCCGCAGACAGACAGAGCCGCAGACAGACAGAGCCGCAGACAGACAGAGCCGCAGACAGACAGAGCCACAGACAGACAGAGCCAC
rnacentral:lncRNA from 15 species